ACAGUUUUGCAUUAAAUGAUAGGUAAAAACUAAAACUUUUAAUAACUGUUUCUUUUAUAUUUGUAGAUCUUGCUGUUUCUCUACAUAAAAAUCUAAUAUAAGCUGAUUUAGCACAAAAUAUGUGAAAUUAUAUAUAUUUUUAUUUCUUUUGUUAUUGUUUUUGUUAUUAUUAUUUUGAGACAGGCUGUCACUUUGUCACCCAGGCUUUUUCAUUUGAUUCUAAGACCAUACCUUUUAUAACUUAUACAUUUUCCUUUAUUAUAUAUUGAGGUUCUCUGAUCAGUCCAAUAACCUCAUUGUCUUAUAAUUUAAAGGUAUGGAAAAAUACUCAAAAGGUGUAUAGAGAACAAAGUUGGAAGACUGGCACUUUUCAAUUUCAAAACUUAAUACAAAGCUAAAUUAAUUAAGAUAGUGUGAGAGUAGAAAUACAGAUCAAUGGAACUGAAUCACGAGUCCAAAAAUGAACCCUUACAUUUAGGAUCAAUUGGUUUUCUACAGAAGUGCUAAAGCAGUUCAAUAGAGGAAAAAUAGUCCUUUCAAUAAACGUGCCGAACAACUGGAUUUCCACAUGGAAAAUAAUGCAAUUGGGCCUCUUCCUUAUACUACACACAAAAAUUAACUUAAAAUGCAUCGUAGACCUGAAUGUAACAGCUAAAACUAUAAAACUCUUAGAAGAAAACACAGGAAUAAAUAUUCAUGACUCUGAGAAAGGAAAAGCCUUCUUAGACAUGACACCAAAAGCUCAAGGAACAAAAGAAAAAUAGAUUAAUUGGGCUUCAUCAAAAUUUAAAACUUUCAUGCUUCAAAGAAUACCAUCAAGAAAGUGAAAGCCAGCCUGGGCAACAUAGUGAGACUCCAUCUCUACAAAAAAAAAAUACAUAAAAAUUAGCUGGGUAUGAUGGUGCAUGUCUGUGGUCCCAGCUACUUGGGAGGCUGAGGCAGGAGGUUGGCUUGAACCUGGGAGGUCAAGGCUGCAGUGAGCUGUCAUCACAUACUGCACUCCAGAUUGGGAGACAGAGUGAGACUGGUGAGACUGAGUCUCAAAAAAAAAAAAGGGCAAAAACAAAAACAGAAAGAAGGUUAAAGGCAAUUCACUGAAUAGGAAAAAAUAUUUGCAAGCCAUAUAGAGUUGGUCCUCAUUAUUAGUGGAUUUCAUAUUUGCAUAUUGUAAACUACUUGCUAAAAUUUUAUUUGUAACCUCAAACCAGUACUCACUAAGCUUUCCCUGGUCACUUGCAGACAUACAUGGAGCAGUAAAAAAGAUGCAGAUGUUCUCUGAGGCUGAAUAAGACCAUGCUCUGCCUUCUUGUUUCAACUGUUACACAGAGAUGACCAGAGGAUGGGGCCACUGCAGUGCAGUUCAAGAGGCUCUGGUUCGGGGAAGAGCUGGAUGGAGUAUGAAUCCCAACUCUGGGGGUAUUAGCUAGUGGAGUGGCCAUAGGCAAGUUACUUAACACUUCUGAACCUCCUUUUGUCUUUCAUAAAAUAAAAGCUACUAGGAUGAGUUGUUUUAAG
rnacentral:lncRNA from 1 species